GAUGAACGCUAGCGGCAGGCUUAAUACAUGCAAGGCGAAGGGGCAGCAAUGUCACUGUCGUACGGGUGCGUAACGCGUAUGCAACCUACCUAUCACUGGGGGAUAGCCCGGGGAAACCCGGAUUAAUACCGCAUAAAACAGGGGCACCGCAUGGUGAUAUUUGUUAAAGAUUUAUUGGUGAUAGAUGGGCACGCGUUCGAUUAGCUAGUUGGCGGGGUAACGGCCCACCAAGGCGACGAUCGAUAGGGGAGCUGAGAGGUUGAUCCCCCACACGGGCACUGGGAUACGGGCCCGACUCCUACGGGAGGCAGCAGUAGGGAAUAUUGGGCAAUGGAUGCAAGUCUGACCCAGCCAUGCCGCGUGCCGGAUGAAGGCCCUCAGGGUUGUAAACGGCUUUUAUUCGGGAAGAAGAGCAGGGAUGCGUCCUUGUGUGACGGUACCGAAUGAAUAAGCACCGGCUAACUCCGUGCCAGCCGCCGCAGUAAGAC
rnacentral:rRNA from 1 species